rnacentral:rRNA from 1 species
AUUGAACGCUGGCGGCAUGCCUUACACAUGCAAGUCGAACGGCAGCACGGGAGCAAUCCUGGUGGCGAGUGGCGAACGGGUGAGUAAUAUAUCGGAACGUGCCCAGUCGUGGGGGAUAACGCAGCGAAAGCUGUGCUAAUACCGCAUACGAUCUAUGGAUGAAAGCGGGGGAUCGCAAGACCUCGCGCGAUUGGAGCGGCCGAUAUCAGAUUAGCUAGUUGGUGGGGUAAAGGCCCACCAAGGCGACGAUCUGUAGCUGGUCUGAGAGGACGACCAGCCACACUGGAACUGAGACACGGUCCAGACUCCUACGGGAGGCAGCAGUGGGGAAUUUUGGACAAUGGGCGCAAGCCUGAUCCAGCAAUGCCGCGUGCAGGAUGAAGGCCUUCGGGUUGUAAACUGCUUUUGUACGGAACGAAACGGUCCUUUCUAAUACAGAGGGCUAAUGACGGUACCGUAAGAAUAAGCACCGGCUAACUACGUGCCAGCAGCCGCCGUAA